rnacentral:rRNA from 1 species
AAGUAGGAGCCUCGAAAGAGGUGACUGCGUACCUUUUGUAUAAUGGGUCAGCGACUUACAUUCAGUGGCAAGCUUAACCGAGUAGGGAAGGCGUAGAGAAAUCGAGUCCGAAUAGGGCGUUCAGUCGCUGGGUGUAGACCCGAAACCAAGUGAUCUAACCAUGGCCAGGAUGAAGGUGCCGUAACAGGUACUGGAGGUCCGAACCGACUGAUGUUGCAAAAUCAGCGGAUGAGCUGUGGUUAGGGGUGAAAGGCUAAACAAACUUGGAAAUAGCUGGUUCUCUCCGAAAACUAUUUAGGUAGUGCCUCAAGUAUUACCUGCGGGGGUAGAGCACUGUUUUGGCUAGGGGGUCAUGGCGACUUACCAAACCAAGGCAAACUCCGAAUACCGCAGAGUACAGCUUGGGAGACAGAGCACCGGGUGCUAACGUCCGGACUCAAGAGGGAAACAACCCAGACCGCCAGCUAAGGUCCCUAAAAUUGGCUAAGUGGGAAACGAAGUGGGAAGGCUAAAACAGUCAGGAUGUUGGCUUAGAAGCAGCCAUCAUUUAAAGAAAGCGUAAUAGCUCACUGAUCGAGUCGUCCUGCGCGGAAGAUGUAACGGGGCUAAGCCAGUUACCGAAGCUGCGGAUGUGCAAUUUAUUGCACGUGGUAGGAGAGCGUUCUGUAAGCCUGUGAAGGUGUCUGGUAACGGAUGCUGGAGGUAUCAGAAGUGCGAAUGCUGACAUGAGUAGCGUUAAAGGGGGUGAAAAGCCCCCUCGCCGUAAGCGCAAGGUUUCCUACGCAACGUUCAUCGGCGUAGGGUGAGUCGGCCCCUAAGGCGAGGCAGAGAUGCGUAGCUGAUGGGAAACAGGUCAAUAUUCCUGUACCGAUCAAUAGUGCGAUGUGGGGACGGAGAAGGUUAGCUCAGCCAACUGUUGGAAUAGUUGGUUCAAGCCUGUAGUCGUGCCUGGUAGGCAAAUCCGCCGGGCUGAGAUGAGGGGUGAUAACGAGUGUGCUUGCACACGAAGUGAGUGAUACCCUGCUUCCAGGAAAAGCCACUAAGCUUCAGCUAUUGACGACCGUACCGCAAACCGACACUGGUGCGCGAGAUGAGUAUUCUAAGGCGCUUGAGAGAACUCAGGAGAAGGAACUCGGCAAAUUGAUACCGUAACUUCGGGAGAAGGUAUGCCCCUAGUAAGUGAAGUUGAACAAACGGAGCUGAAUGGGGUUGCAAAAAAUCGGUGGCUGCGACUGUUUAAUAAAAACACAGCACUCUGCAAACACGAAAGUGGACGUAUAGGGUGUGACGCCUGCCCGGUGCUGGAAGAUUAAAUGAUGGGGUGCAAGCUCUUGAUUGAAGUCCCAGUAAACGGCGGCCGUAACUAUAACGGUCCUAAGGUAGCGAAAUUCCUUGUC